GCUUGAACACCGAUUUUAUAAAAAUGGGAGUUAAAAGGAUGGAGCAACCUCGAACUUCAGAAGGUAAACAAAAAAUUGGAGCUAAUAAGACGAUAAGCUCAUUGUGACAGCGACUACGAACCACAAAACGAGACUCACCUAACAAAUCAUCACAAUUAGAGUACAACAAAUUUAAAUAAGAGAACUAGCUAACUAAAAAUCGCUUACCUACGAGGCAUGUCGAUAGAAGGAUAAGGGGUCAUUAGGUUUAAAUUUCCAAUUACAAUGAAAGAAGAAAAAACCCUCCUUCCAAAAAAAGCAUAUGAACAGUGGGUGAGAUAACCAACACUGGACAGGCUAUGGAAAAGCCAGAGUAAAAAGAAUAAUAUCCGUUAUGGGAAUUUGCAAGAUGAAAAGGAAUUCAAAGUCCCAUUUCUAAUAAAUGCCUGUGAAUAGCAUGCAACUUGGGGGGUGGACGAUUCACUGUUAGAAAUGGCUCAGGAUACAAAAGCUCUAUGUCGUUGAAGAUGUUGAAAUGAAUCCUAAUAUCAACCGAAUCUUGUUCAAUAAGGUUACUAAAAUUUCCCGAAGCUCCAUAAACGUCCCUCACACCCUCAUUAAGAUUAACUUGCGCUCCAGAAGAUUCAAAUGCUAACUAAAAAGCCAUCCUCAGACCAAAAUUUUCCCAAUUGACCUAAAAGUGCUAGGUUAUGAGAAUCAGCAUGAGAAGACGUUGUAGGAAGAGAGGCGGAGGCUGUAAGUUUAAGAUGAGAAAUCUUUGUUAUUCAAUAGAAAUAAGGAAGCAAGAUGAGGGAGAUCAACCAAAGUGAUGACAUAUUUAUAGAUUAUGACAAAGAAUACUAACCAUUAAAACACAACAAUGGCAAUCAUAAUCGUUGAAAAUGAACAAGCAGUUAUUCAGAUCCCGAGGUAAAAUUACAUACAGCCCAUGCAUGCCUGAGAAAAUCUUGGACUAUUCAUGAGAAAAAGGCAAAUAAGGCCCAUCUGCUUGCAUAAAGUGAAAAUGAUCAUAGACAUGUCCCCCACAUUUUCCUUGGCCAGCAAAAAUAAAGUGGAGUAAAGAAUAAAACUUUUAAUAGCCUUGCCAACCAAAAUAUAGUAAAUGAAGUCCUAGAUUCAAUAUAAAUAGUGAAACUAGACUUGGGGGAUAUUUGCUUACCUUCUAGCACGAUCUAAUUCAUUGAUGGAGCAUGAAACAAUGCGAAUGGAGUAAAAAAGUAAAAGAUUUGCACAUAUAACAGCGAAUUGAUCCCCGUAUAUUGGAUGGCUAUAGACUGUCAAUGGAAGGUAUAAGGGCAAGGGAAAUAAAGUGUGAACCUUAACCGAAUUAGUUACAAGUUAGCUAAUAACCUUUCAUUCCCUAAAAGUGACGAAAUUACUCUAGCGCUUGAAGGGAAGUUUAUAAAUACCCUUCCUCUCAUUUGAAGGAAGGCAUGCAAUUCAUGUAUCUCCCUCUCAAAGAGUUAUUUCUCCUCUUGUUCUAAUUUAAGCAUCU
rnacentral:lncRNA from 1 species